CACACUCACACACACACACACACACACAGUAUCAGCUGUUUAUCUUUGUGCCUUUAGUUAGAAAAGGCAACAUGGAAGAAGUGAUCAUUAGGAAUAAACUGUGGCCUGUGAGGCAUGAUGGGGGACUUCGGUGUAGAAGAUACAGAAUAGCUCCAGCUUUUCUCUAGGAGCUCUCAACAGCUUGAGUAUCAGCACAGAGAAAGUCAGUGGGUUGAAUCACAAUUUACAGUUGGUAGUUCUUGGGGCUGACAUGUUUUCUUUAAUGUGCCUUUUGUUUCUACUUUUAGAUUAGUCAUCGAUAUUUAAAAACCGGCACACUUCACAUAAAAAUUUGGCUCCUCUUAAGUAAAUGGAAGGUAUGGCCUCAUUGAGUUUACCCUUCAGCCUGAAAUGAGUAGUGAUGCCCUGUUAGAGGUCACAGAGGUUAGAGGUUAGAGGUAUCUGCAGUCCCCUUUGACUCUUAGGAUUCCUACCUGACUCCUGCACACGUUCAGGUUUGCCAUCUCUGGGAUUAAAUAAGUUGGGGUUGGGGUAAAGGGGACAGAUACAGGAGGAGGAUAAAGAGGCAGGAAAGGUAAAGGUGUUAGGAAGACGGUGAUUCAAGUGAAACACCAUGGGUUCCGGGCUCCAUUGCUAACGAGGUACAGUUAGGAGGAGGUUCCGGCUGUGGAGAAAAGGGCACAAUCUGGGGAGUGGAUGCAUCAGUGAGUUUGAAGUGUCAGUGUGGUAGAGCACGGGCCAGGGAGAACUGGAAGGAUGUACCGUCGUAAUCAGCAAAUAGGAUGUGUGACUUCAGGGAGUUCAGAGAGCUGUGGCCGCAGGACUGAGUCACCGAAGUAGAGGGGGCAGCAAGGGUCACUGGAUUCCAAAUGAUCAAGUGAGGCCAGAGUGUUGAAAAUACUUGGUCCACAUAGACUCUUCAAGCCUCUCAAAUUAUAUUCAUAUAAAACAACUAACAGGCGUUGUGUGCUUCUGUGUUCCAGGCACUAUCCUGGGUUGCUUUUCAUCAGUUCAUUUAAUCCGCAUAGCAAUCAUAUGACAUCUGGGCACUUUAAUCGUCCCCACUGUACAUAUUCUACAGUUGAGGCUUAGAGAGACUGCACAACUUAUCCAAGAUCACAUCGUUCCUAAGUGGCCAGAACUUGACCCUAAGAACUGCCUUUCAAAGUUCAUUCCCCAAACCUCUGCCCCCUAAGGCAUUGGAUAGGAGACAGUCAUAGGAAGGGAAUGUUUGCAUGAGAGAGGAAAGCAACGAUGUUGGAAGUAGCCAGCGGUCCACUUGGAGAAUGUUGACCUCCUUUCCAUCCCAGGUGAAUAAGUGAGUAGUAAGUGGGGGAUUCUCAGUCCCACUGGAGAUGGAUAUGAGGAAAUAGAAGCUUUAGGGGAGAGUCAGGUAAAGGUUAGAAACAGAUUUGAGUGGUGCAUUGUGUGUUAUGAUCAGAGGAUCAGGGAGUUUGUCUGCAGAGGAAAGUUUGGAGGAAGGAGAGGAGUCAAUUGGAAGAGAGGUUGGCACAGAAGGGUAAGUCCCUGAGAAGCAGAGCAGUGCUCUCUGCAGAUGUGCAUGCCUUGGAGGAUGAGAGACAAUACAGUCUUUCACUUUGCCCUGAUGACAAGGAUGAGAGGCUGGGAAUUGACUGCCCGAAGGGAUCCAAGUGGAUACAUGCUUCAAGUCAUCUGUUUCAGCACCAGCUCAGGUCCCAGAUGGCUCUGGUGGCCUCAGAGUGUCAGCAGCCAGGCAGUGGAGGCUUUGCUCAGAUUUUCAAGUAGAAGGUUAGUCCAAACAUCCUUGGGGUUUGUUCUUUGUGUGCUCUGGGAAGGAGAUUGAAUAGUCAACAUCCCAUUGUGUUCUCAUUUAUGGUUAUAUAUACAUGAAGCUUCCCUAAACUAAAUCCCUAAACUUAGGACCAGAACCCUGUGUAUCCCCAGUCCCAUCCCAGCUUCGUGCCUACUGCACGUAUACAGUCAGUAAACAGCUACAAAAUCAUUGCAUGUUCAUAAACAAGCUGAUUCAUUGUUCCAGAGCGUCUCUUCUCGGAGGCGGUUGGCAAUUCCGCUCUGAAGUGGGAAGAACUUACGUUGCUGUACUAAAACUUUCUCUCCGUGUCCCAGCCCCCUUCUCCUCCUUUCUACAGUGUGAUGUGCCAAUUUGCCUGCCUACUUUUCCUAACUAGUCCUUCAUGCAGCCCUCACUCCCAUCCUGACCUCCUCUCUAAAGCCAUCCUACCAGCCGUGAAAGCAGAUGCCAUUGUCUUCCCCCUAGACCUGCGGAAGUGAAGGCAGGGAGCCUUCCGUUCCUGGGACUUGGCCAGCUCUCGAUACGCGAUAUCAGAUUGUUGAGCUGGACUGAGUGGCCCAGGAUUUCUGCCAGAUCCCAGCUCUAACAUUUCAACAGGGGCAGGAGCCCUGCGAUUAUUUUCAGCUGUGUUUCUGCUGUGUCCCCUCCCCCAUGACCUGCCACUGGGGUUGAGUCCCUUCAAAACUAUCCCUGACUUUUUUUUUCAGCCAGUCACAUCUAGGUAGUAAUUUGUGAAAGAUGCCAUUGUUUUCUCCCUAUCACAUCUAUUUGCUGUGGGGCAGAGUCCUAGAAGGUAAUUGUUAACUUCUUAUAGGAUCCUCGGAGACUUACAACAGUUUACACCAUCUUUCUUUUCCCCGCAGUUUACACCACCUUUCUUUCAACUUGGCACCUUAAGAUAAGCUUCCCAAGCCACAGGCCAACCUUGAGGAGGAAGCUAGGAAGAGAAGAGCUUAAUGAUGGCUUUAUUAUUAUUGCAGAUAGUAGGGAGGCAAAGGAAUAUUUUAUUUUUUAUUUAUUUUAUAAUGUUUUAUUUCCAUAGGUGUUUGGGAAACAGGUGGUAUUUGGUUACACGAGUAAGUUCUUCAGCAGCGAUUUGUGAGAAUUUGGAGCACCCAUCAGCUGAGCAGUAUACACUGAACCCAAACCUAAUGUCUUUAGCUUAUCCCUUCCCUACAUGGGAGCAUGUCCUUUGAUUCCUCCCCCCAGAAAAAAAAAAAAACACAUGAAAACAACAACAACAAAGGCAGAGUGAUAUUCUGGUGGUUUCUGAAGGGAGAGUGGUGAAGAAGGUGCAGUUUCUGGUUGGCAGGUGAUAGCUCGCUGUACACAGGGGAGGGAGGGAUGGCUGUUGGGGGAGAGUGUGGUGCCCAGAGCAGGGCUGCCCUUGUGGUUGGUUAUAGCUCAGUGGCCGUGCUGGGGGUGGAAAGGCCAGGAAAUCACAGGAAUAAGCUUGAGAUAGGGGAGGAAGAGUGCAGGAGGGUUAGUUAUUCAUACAUACAGAAUGGUAAAUCUCUUAUGGUGAGGUAUGGGAAAACUGUGGGCCUAAGGGACUUUCAUAGGGAGGACUGCUGUUUUCCAUAAGAAGAGUUGGACCCUCAGAUAGGAAACCUGUUUCUUUGUGGAUAUUUUAUUUGCAGUCUUCUUUAAACUUACACAUUCCUGGAAAGAGGUAAGAAAUUUAAUCAGUAGAAUGAUAGUACAUCGAAUUUAAUUAAAGUUGAAGCUACUUUUUAUAGAAUAGCCCUGUGUUUUAUGUGUCAUUAUCAUUUCCAUUCCCGACAAGCUAUUUCAUUAAUACACUGCGUAGAAUCCUAGUAGCACAAGUGCUUUGCCCUUUUCAUUCCUCAUUUAUCCUUGUUUCCUGACCAAAGGGAAACCUCCCACCCACCUGUAAAUAGCAGUUUUUAAUUUAUAGACAGUGAUGUCUCCACUUUUGAAGGCCUCAGUUAUGGUGUGUAAUAAAUCCAUUAUUGGAAGAAAUCUUUUCCAGAAGACUUCACUGGCUUGCUUUCCUCUAGGAUAUGGGAAGAGGAAGAUCAGGGUCUGCUGAGGAAGAAAGCAAAAAGUCAGCAGUGCACAGGCCCUAUUUUGAGGUGGGCCUGAGGGUUGAGGUGCUUGGAGAGGAGGAGGAUCAGGUGAGUAAGGGACGAGAGGUGACUGAUGUUCCUUCCGGAAGGACAGGGGGCAGAGGAUGAGCUGAGGAUGAGCUGAGGUCGGAUAGCUGCAGUGUCGGGGGUGGGAAUGGCAAUGAUAGAAUCAAAGGAUUUUAUAUUUAGAGAAAGGUUUAUUGUGAUCCAACUAUCUCACUUUAUGGAUGAGAAAACAGUCUCCAAGAGUUUAAGUCGCUUGCUAGGAGUCACACAUUUUUCUUCAGGGUGACAAUAUGGGAUAAAUUGUUAAUGUUCCUGUUCUUUUCUUGUAUCUCUCACUCUUAAGCAGUGGUAUUCAAGAACAAGUACUGGUAAUCAUCGUUCUCAUUAUAAUGUUAAAACUAGUCAUACUUGUUUUUUUCCAGUGGAAAGUACAAAUUAAACUGUGACCACCCAGGCUGUGCACAUCUAGGCACAAAGUUCUUGGAAAGUGGAUUGCAGAUUCACAUGAGCAGAAUCUCAUGGAGAGCCUUUUAUAUGGGCAGAUUCUGGAGCCAUCCCCAAACUUGCAGCAAAACAGAGUUUGAGUGGGUACCCUGGAAUCUGCAUUUUAAACAAAUUCCAUAGUCCUUCCUUCCACAUACUAAUUUUGAAAAGGACCGUACCUAUAAGCUUGCAGUCUAAAAUGAAUAAAAAUAAAUACAUAACAAUACAUGCUCUAACCCCUGACUUAGUAUCCAUGAAAAGAUUUAUUUCAGAUUAUGCUUGGGUACCUUUAUCAUUUUUUUACUAUUAUUUAUAAGACAAGUAAGACAUGGCCCCUGCACUAGAGGAGUUCACAGGAGAAACAGUAUGGUUUUAAUUUAGUAUGAUAGCCAGUACACUUGUUAGGUACCCCUAUGUACUGCUGAAAGUCAGAGGGUGGAAAAUUAAUCCUGUGGUUUUUGACCAGAGAAGAUCUCAUAGGGUAGGUGGUCUUAAGGUUGCGUGGAAUUCACCAGGGACAAGGGAGAGGCAGGAAUUUGAGGCUGGGUGACAUGAGCUGUGGCUGGUGUGAUGAGGGGUGGGGGCAGGUGGUUCAGUGAAGUCAGAUCAUCAUUGUUGCUGGAGUGUAAGGUGUGUGCUGCAGGAACCAGUAAAUAUGGAAACCAACAGGUAGAGGCAGACUUGGGAGCACUUGCAAGCUGUGCCUAGGAGCUCAGACUGACCUCUGGCCUGCCUGGGGUUGUCUGUGAAGUCCAGGAAGCAAAGGACAUGAAGGGAAGGCAUAAGUGUAUACUCACCGCCCUUCAGCCAGCAGAACCUCUUAAGCGGGUGAGUGCCCUCUAGGGGUUUACAUGAUUUCUGAGUUCUGCUCAUCAUUGCACCUAGGCUCUCAGGUGCCCACUGAGCUUGAAUCCAUUACCUACCUGAGAAAAAAAAGACAGCUUAACUAAGUCCCACCUGGCUGCAGGUGUAACUACGUUACGCAAAAAUGUAUUAAUGUGGUACCUGGAUCGAUCAUCAUAUUAACACUGAGGAUUACAUUUAGAGGCUUGAUUUUUCUGGCUACUUGCAAAUACAGGUUCCAUCUUCUUUGAAGUUAAAAGCUCUUACCCCACAUAUCGUAUGAUUCCAUUUAUAUGAACUAUCCAGAAUUGGCACGUCCGUAGAGACAGAACAUAAAUUAGUGGUUGCUAAGGUUUGGGGUAGGGGAAAUGGGAGUGACUGCUAUUGGGUACAGGGUUUCUUUUUGAGGUGAUGAAAAUGUUCUGAAAUUAGGUACUAGUGAUGGCCCCGUGAAUAUAAAACCACUCAAUUGUAUGCUUUAAAAGGAUGAUUGUUAUGGUAAGUGAAUUAUAUCUCAAUAAAGCUGUUUUGUUUU